AUGGCUAGGUCGGACCCUCUGGUGAGCUCAAGCACGUCGGUGCCGGCGACGAUGCGGACGCGCGGGAGGAACGCCGCGGCGUGCUGCAGGUCCAGCAUCUCGCCGCGGACUCUGUCGGCCUCGGCGUCCACGAGCGUGAUCUCGUCGGCGAGGCCCUGCGUGAGGAUGGUCUGCGCGAUGGCCAUGCCCACGUUGCCGGCGCCGAUAACGGAGACCUUGGUGAGCCGCUCACACGGCUGCGGCGGGGUCAUUUCCCCAUCGUGGCCGGACGAUGGAACCUGGCGGAAGAAGCCAGCACCGGUGUCGGCGUCGAAGCCGAGCUCGGACAGCGAGGACGCCUCCUUCUUCAUCAGGCUCAUGGUGUCAAAUCGAUCGGGCUGUGUUGAUAUCGUGCUUCCUCAGUUGUGCUUGGAACAUCGGAUGCAAUGCAUGCUACGUAGCUCAGGGCUCUCCUACUUAUACUACCACGCUACUUGUACUACCACAGUAGUUGGCAAAAAGUAUCUCUCUAUAGAUCAUAACCACAUAAGUUUAUCUGUUUUUCAACGUCUUCUUUUUGUCUUUCUGGAAAGCGAACAAAAAAAGAAAUCGAAGUCUAUGUUGACGGAAAUAAAGGAUGCGACUUUACAAUACCAGAGAAGUUCCUGCUGGUUUUGGUCCACGGUUCGUUCGUUGGAGCAUGGAUAA
rnacentral:rRNA from 1 species